AGCAUUUUUAAAACUACCCCUGUUUUGGUGCAAAAAGACGAUUCUGCCCUCAUUUGUUUUAACCUAAAAAAUCUCUUCUUCACCAAUCUCUCUCUCGACGGCAAAAACCCGACUCAUCUCUCUCUCGACGGCGAUGGUGACUCCGACUCUGACUCAUCUCUCUCUCGACGGCGACGGCGAUUCAUUGAUGUUGGUUUAUGAGAAUCCUAGUUUACAGUUCAUCCCGUCGCCGACUAUCUCUACGUUCCUUCAAGCCCCUGAAUUUAUUGUUCUCUGUCGUGAUUCAUUGUGCUUGGUCGUGGUGUGCUAUGGCGAGAUGAAAUGUGCUCUGCUCAGUUCGACGUGGUCUGGUAACUCACUUUCAGCAUCUCGUCAAGCUUAGCACACGUAUUCGCCUAGAUUCUCCUAUUACAGUAAGAUGCUGGAAUUGGUACUUUUAUAUACUUUUAGUUUGGAUAUAAUCUGGAUUUGAAUGUUAUAGACAAGUAAGGUUUAGUGAAGGUAUCAUAUUUAAGAGAUCGACUUCAGUAUGGCCAACAUCUCUAAUACGGUCUGCAUUUGUUAGUUUGCUGCAUAUUUCUAUGAUUUUACAGAAGGAUGUUUGUAAGUGAAGAUGUUUUGCAUCUGCACUCGAAAUCAAAUGGAAAAGAUAAGGCAUGUUUUUAGUAAUAGCUGUAGGAUAUGAUAUUAUUAAGGUGGUGGAAUUGAAUGUGUGUGAUUUCCAAUAUGAUUAGUUCAUAGCAAACAAUUUGUGAAUUUGCAAGAAAACGAAAGGUUGUCGUCUUCAGAUAGGAAGAACCAUCUCAGUCCGAGAUAUUCAUAGCAAGGGUACGAAUCUCCAGCUGCAAGACACUAACAAGGUACUGAGGAUUACUGUUGGAUAUUAGAAUUUUGGAAUUAUUCAAGAAGCUUCGAGCUCUGUUUUUAGUACUCGACCAAGAGGAGUGGAGACAUGUGAGAGCCAGCCUUGAGUACACUGGUGGAGAAGUAAGAAGUGCUGGUAGAAAGCGGUAUAUCUAACGAUAGUUUCAGAC